rnacentral:rRNA from 1 species
UACGUAGGUGGCAAGCGUUGUCCGGAAUUACUGGGCGUAAAGGGCGUGUAGGCGGCCUUUUAAGUCAGAUGUGAAAUCCCAAGGCUUAACCUUGGAACUGCAUUUGAAACUGGAGGGCUUGAGGAUCGGAGAGGGCAGUGGAAUUCCCAGUGUAGCGGUGAAAUGCGUAGAUAUUGGGAGGAACACCAGUGGCGAAGGCGACUGCCUGGACGACACCUGACGCUGAGGCGCGAAAGCUAGGGGAGCAAACGGG